rnacentral:rRNA from 1 species
CUGUACGAGUUUGAUCCUGGCUCAGGAUGAACGCUAGCGGCAGGCUUAAUACAUGCAAGUCGUGGGGCAGCAUGGGGUAGCAAUACUCUGAUGGCGACCGGCAAACGGGUGCGGAACACGUACGCAACCUUCCCAAAACUGGUGAAUAGCCCUCCGAAAGGAGGAUUAAUACACCGUAACAUAACGAAGUGGCAUCACUUUGUUAUUAUAGCUCCGGCGGUUUUGGAUGGGCGUGCGCCUGAUUAGGUAGUUGGCGGGGUAACGGCCCACCAAGCCUACGAUCAGUAACUGGUGUGAGAGCACGACCAGUCACACGGGCACUGAGACACGGGCCCGACUCCUACGGGAGGCAGCAGUAAGGAAUAUUGGUCAAUGGACGCAAGUCUGAACCAGCCAUGCCGCGUGAAGGAUGAAGGUCCUCUGGAUUGUAAACUUCUUUUAUCUGGGACGAAAAAAGGGCUUUCUAGCUCACUUGACGGUACCAGAGGAAUAAGCACCGGCUAACUCCGUG